rnacentral:rRNA from 1 species
UACGGAGGGAGCUAGCGUUGUUCGGAUUCACUGGGCGUAAAGGGUGCGCAGGUGGGUUUGCAAGUUCGAUGUGAAAGCCCCGGGCUUAACCCGGGAAUGGCAUUGGAUACUGCAGAUCUGGAGGAUUGGAGGGGGGACUGGAAUUCUUGGUGUAGCAGUGAAAUGCGUAGAUAUCAAGAGGAACACCAGUGGCGAAGGCGAGUCCCUGGACAAUUCCUGACACUGAGGCACGAAAGCUAGGGGAGCAAACAGG